rnacentral:piRNA from 1 species
UUAGAACUGCACAGGAUAAUGCCCAU